rnacentral:rRNA from 1 species
UACGUAGGGUGCAAGCGUUGUCCGGAAUUAUUGGGCGUAAAGAGCUCGUAGGCGGUCUGUCGCGUCUGCUGUGAAAUCUCAGGGCUAAACCCUGAGCUUGCAGUGGGUACGGGCAGACUAGAGUGCGGUAGGGGAGACUGGAAUUCCUGGUGUAGCGGUGAAAUGCGCAGAUAUCAGGAGGAACACCGGUGGCGAAGGCGGGUCUCUGGGACGGUACUGACGCUGAGACGCGAAAGCGUGGGGAGCGAACAGG